CCUGAAGCGUAUGUAACCCAAGGUACCACUGUAAAGAAUUUACAACUCACUACAGUUCAAUUAGCAUUGUUCUGUAAUAGUAACAUUAUUCUCUAACACAUGUGGUGAAGGUGUUCCUCCCUAUGUGAGGGUCUGCAUUCUCACAGGAAUGCAAGUUAAAGAUGUAGGGGAUCUUUUAUAUGUUGGGACACUGGGCCUCCCAGAGUACUAGCAGCUUAUGUAGAG